rnacentral:rRNA from 1 species
UACGAAGGGUGCAAGCGUUACUCGGAAUUACUGGGCGUAAAGCGUGCGUAGGUGGUUCGUUAAGUCUGAUGUGAAAGCCCUGGGCUCAACCUGGGAAUGGCAUUGGAUACUGGCGGACUGGAGUGCGGUAGAGGAUGGCGGAAUUCCCGGUGUAGCAGUGAAAUGCGUAGAGAUCGGGAGGAACAUCAGUGGCGAAAGCGACUUCCUGGACCAAUACUGACGCUCAUGUGCGAAAGCGUGGGGAGCAAACAGG